rnacentral:rRNA from 1 species
UACGAAGGGGGCUAGCGUUGCUCGGAAUUACUGGGCGUAAAGCGCACGUAGGCGGUCUUUUAAGUCGGGGGUGAAAUCCUGGAGCUCAACUCCAGAACUGCCUUCGAUACUGGAAGACUUGAGUACGGGAGAGGUGAGUGGAACUGCGAGUGUAGAGGUGAAAUUCGUAGAUAUUCGCAAGAACACCGGUGGCGAAGGCGGCUCACUGGCCCGGAACUGACGCUGAGGCACGAAAGCGUGGGGAGCAAACAGG